rnacentral:rRNA from 1 species
GAUGAACGCUAGCGGCAGGCCUAAUACAUGCAAGUCGAACGGUGUAGCAAUACACAGUGGCGCACGGGUGCGUAACACGUAUGCAACCUACCUUACAUUGGGGGAUAGCCUUUCGAAAGGGAGAUUAAUACCGCAUAAGACAGUAACUAGGCAUCUAGUAGCUGUUAAAGAUUUAUCGAUGUAAGCUGGGCAUGCGUCCAAUUAGUUAGUUGGCGAGGUAAUGGCUCACCAAGACGAUGAUUGGUAGGGGAACUGAGAGGUCAAUCCCCCACACUGGCACUGAGAUACGGGCCAGACUCCUACGGGAGGCCGCAGUAGGGAAUAUUGGGCAAUGGGCGCAAGCCUGACCCAGCCAUGCCGCGUGCAGGAAGAAGGCGUUAUGCGUUGUAAACUGCUUUUAUACAGGAAGAAACGACCCUUGCGAGGGGCAUUGACGGUACUGUAUGAAUAAGCACCAGCUAACUCCGUGCCAGCCGCCGCUGUAACAC